rnacentral:rRNA from 1 species
GUAACACGUAAAGAACCUGCCCUCAGGUCUGGGAUAACCACGAGAAAUCGGGGCUAAUACCGGAUGGGUCAUCGGACCGCAUGGUCCGAGGAUGAAAGGCGCUUCGGCGUCGCCUGGGGAUGGCUUUGCGGUGCAUCAGCUAGUUGGUGGGGUAAUGGCCCACCAAGGCGACGAUGCAUAGCCGACCUGAGAGGGUGAUCGGCCACACUGGGACUGAGACACGGCCCAGACUCCUACGGGAGGCAGCAGUAGGGAAUCUUCCACAAUGGACGAAAGUCUGAUGGAGCAACGCCGCGUGAACGAUGAAGGCCUUCGGGUCGUAAAGUUCUGUUGUAAGGGAAGAACAAGUGCCGCAGGCAAUGGCGGCACCUUGACGGUACCUUGCGAGAAAGCCACGGCUAACUACGUGCCAGCAGCCGCGGUAAUACGUAGGUGGCAAGCGUUGUCCGGAAUUAUUGGGCGUAAAGCGCGCGCAGGCGGCCUCUUAAGUCUGAUGUGAAAGCCCCCGGCUCAACCGGGGAGGGCCAUUGGAAACUGGGAGGCUUGAGUAUAGGAGAGAAGAGUGGAAUUCCACGUGUAGCGGUGAAAUGCGUAGAGAUGUGGAGGAACACCAGUGGCGAAGGCGACUCUUUGGCCUAUAACUGACGCUGAGGCG